GUGCUCACUUCGGCAGUAUGUGUACUAAAAAUGCAGCGAUAUGGAGAUGAUUAGCAUGGCCCCUGCACAAGGAAGACACACAAAUUCAUGAAACAUUCCAUAAAAAA
ensembl:snRNA U6 U6 spliceosomal RNA